GUGCUCGCUUUGGCAGCACAUUUACUAAAAUUGGAACAAUACGGAGAAGAGUAACAUGGCCACUGUUCAAUGAUGACAUGCAAAUUCAUAAAGUGUUCAUAUUUCUA
ensembl:snRNA U6 U6 spliceosomal RNA